CACAAGCAGCCAUGCCAGGCUGCAUGGGGAGGCAGGGGCGGCUGGGGUUUAGCAGUAGAAGAGGUUGCAGCCAGCACUUGAGCAACUAAGUGAGAGAACUAAGAGGAAUUGUGAAGGAGCCAUAUGUUUUACGAUGACCCCAACUUAUCAGGAGAAAGCUGAGUCUCAGAGACUUUUGGUCACUUGCCCAAGGACUCAAGUCAUUGUUUCUCAUCUCCAACUUAACACUCGGUGAAGAAAAUCACACUGAUAGUGGAGUCCUCUGCCAUAUAACUGGAGAAUAUCUACAGAUGCGGAGAAGGGAAGAAGAGACAUAGGAGGUAGGAGAAAGAAUGUCAUGGAGAAGAGCAGGCCUCACUGGUUUAGGAGACAUAUUUCAGGGGUUAUGCGGGGAAAGAAAUUGGCUCAAAAAAGGAAGAACUUUCUAAUGCCAAGGCUGCAAAUAAGUGGCUAUGUCAGAAAACGGCAAGAGGCUUACGCCCCUCCAUAGGUUCUUUUAUUUGCUUAAAAUACAGUCUUUCCUUCUUGGUA